UACGGAGGGUGCGAGCGUUAUCCGGAAUUACUGGGUUUAAAGGGUGCGUAGGCGGCGUUGUAAGUCAGGAGUGAAAGUUUGCGGCUCAACCGUAAAAUUGCUUUUGAUACUGCAAUGCUAGAAUCAGGAUGAGGUUAGCGGAAUGUGGCAUGUAGCGGUGAAAUGCAUAGAUAUGCCAUAGAACACCAAUUGCGAAGGCAGCUGGCUAGACCUGUAUUGACACUGAGGCACGAAAGCGUGGGGAGCGAACAGG
rnacentral:rRNA from 1 species